rnacentral:lncRNA from 1 species
GCAGUUGGAGUUGGGUCACGGCGUCGUCUUCGGGAAGUUUACGGAGCUUAAGUCGAAUUGCUGGUACUGGCAAAUUCUUCCAAUCGGAAUGUGUGGAUAGAGAUUGCAAAUUCUAAUACAGAAAAGAAAAAUCGGGUUACUCCAACUAACCAAGCUCACGGGGACAGGACUGAUGGGAGCAGUCAAGUUUUGUGCACUUACUGAGAAGAAAUUAUAGAAUAGAGCAUUGUAAGUAACCCUUACGGCUAAGGGAGUUUAUGAUUCUCAGAGCGGCUUUUUACGAGUUAUAGGUAUGCACAGUUCGCUGAAUGCUGGUCGCCAUGUUCCACAUUGGGCGGAAUUCCGAGAAGAAGUUUUUGUGGGAGUUUUGCAUCUUCUGGCGUCAUUUUGGAAGCAGCAACUUUCUAGGGCAUUAUGAGUGACUGAUUAGGAGUGUGUCGAAGAGUAAUAUUCUUGCAGCGCGUUUGAUCACAAUUGUUGUUUCACAAAAUCUAGGUACACUGAAAGAAGCAACUAUUUGCACUUGAGAGAAAUUCGGGAGAUUGUUGUUGCAGCGUUCAGUCAGCACUGUUAUUUAUCAGUUAUUGACUAUUAAACAUGUGGAGAGAGACUGGGUACUUGAGAAUGCCUGAGCGAGACGAUUUAAUACGCGCAUGGAAUCAUUUAUUGAAUGUGAUAGAGGGAGCGUUGAAAUGCUACCCAGCUUGAGUCAUGGAUCAUAGCUCCCAACCUAACAGGGAGCUUCAGAAAUGAUAAUCUGCUGCACAUUAGCUCGAAACACUUGCUCUUACGUCAUAAGGUAGGCGACACAGUACUAUUGGACUUAAAGCAAGUGAUCGAUUGAUCUAAUGUGAUCAUGUUUUGUGAUUCAAUCUAAAUUGAAGUGAAUGCAGGAAUAAUCACAUGUUGACGUGUGUGGUCUUUGAUCACUGACAUUUAGCGUGCGGAAUUAUCCCGCUGCUUUAAAUGGUGGAGGACUAUCUGUUACUUUUGGCAAUGUUGCAACAGUUGCUUCUUGCUCCACUACCCUAUUGUGGUUGUCUCGUUCCACUGUUUCAUAAGCUCUCAUUUGAGUGGAAAAGCUCUUCACUUCCACUUAAAAGCAGCUGCAAGUGAGUAUGUCUUCCAAGAGUUCCAAUGAAGAGGAUUGGAAGGUCCAGGCGGCCCUACAGACUCACGUAUAGUUGGUCAAGUCGAGAUAUCAGGGGUUAGCGCCAGGGGCGGGAUCACAUGUGGGGAACAAGUUUUUUGGAGACUUGUCGAGAAAAUUAAGUUUUUGCAGGGGAUUAGGGUUUAAGUUCUUAGGUUCGAUGGCCACUGGUUACAGUACCUCACCGAUCAAGCAUAACUGGAGUUAUCUAAUACUGCAGUGAGUUUAUUUGUUUGAAAAUCUUAUCAUAUCUGGCAAUUGUUUCCAAUUUGUAUGCUCCAAGGCAUUAAAUGAUUGCCCUUCCCAGCGGUUUUCUGUUUGAAAGGUUGGAACUGUGGAAUUGAAGUUUGAGGUUUACUGUUGUGGAAAGUAGUCAGGAAGAAACCUAAGGGCAAGGAUGGAUAUGCUAGGAUGUUAAACAUGGCUCAAGCAUUUUGAAGCAUAUGCAGGCUUACUCAAAUGACUUGUCUGAUUUAGGGUUUAGGGUAAAUGGCAUCUUCAUCAGCAAUGUUAUUGGUCUUGGCAACUAUCUUGUUUGGAUUGAUCUUGAGAUUUUCGUAAAUGCCCGAGUCUUGAGAUCGUAUCGUUUAUCUUGAUGACUGUUAGGGAAGUCCUUGUUUUAGUUCGAGAUCUGGGAUUGCGCAGGGUUUUUGUUUUUGUUAUUUUUAUGGAUAUGAAUACGUUGAUGCUUUCAUUUCGUUGUGUGCUCUACUUAAGGAUUUGUUGAAAUUCUUGCAGGUGGUAGUGAAAAAUGUACCGGAGCUGAACUACUGAUGCUGGUGCAAGGAAUAAAAAUUCAAGGCGAGGCGUGCGUGGGAGUUCGACUAGCAGGUCGGUUUGCUGCAGUGAAUCGUGACCUUUUGAUCACUAGUACCUUGGUUUGUGUUCGAAUAGAUUGGUAAUUGUUUCUUUUCCUCGUUUAGCUUGGGAAUUAAGCUAGCAAAGUUGGCCUAUUUAGCAAGUUUCAGAACUAGGGAGCUGGACAUUUUGUUGCAGAAUUCUGACUUGCAACGAACGAUUUUCAAUGACAAGCAUUUAGUGUUGAAGGGAAUCGUUCAUGGUUAUCAGUAAGACGUUUGAUAUAUGGAAAGAUUCUUUAUGGUUGGAUCUAUUUUCCAAUACAAUUUUUACUACCAUUAGUUCCUUCAGUGUUGCCCUCCGAUCUGGUUCCUUGUCUUUUAGUUUCUAUGGUGCUGGGGAUCUUGUUCACUGCCAAGAGGGGCAUCAGAUGUAGACAAGGCUACUGACUAAGAUGUAACUGACAGCAGUACUUGCUCGUCACUGCUCGACUAUUGCGGGUUUCCAGUGUGUUUCCAUGUUCGUGAACGAGUACAUUUGUAAUGUCCCUCAGCUAUCUUCAGGAAUCAUCUCCCUUCUAACAAAUUUGAGCUUCGCCAGCCAUCCUUUUUUUAGUUUGUACAG